rnacentral:rRNA from 1 species
AAAUGUUAAAUAGCCGCGGUAUUUUGACCGUGCAAAGGUAGCAUAAUCAUUAGUUUUUUAAUUGAAAACUUGUAUGAAUGGUUGGACAAAGAAAAAGCUGUCUCUUUUAUUUGAAUUGAAAUUAACUUCUAAGUGAAAAGGCUUAGAUUUUUUAGAGGGACGAUAAGACCCUAUAAAGCAUUUGGUUGGGGCGACAAUGGUAUAAAUAAUAACUGCUAUUAAAAUUAAACAAUUAUAUUUGUAUUGAUCCUUAUUAUGGAUUAAAAGAUCAAGUUACUUUAGGGAUAACAGCGUAAUUUCUUUUGAGAGUUCUUAUCAAAGAAGAAGUUUGCGACCUCGAUGUUGAAUUAAAAUGUCUUUAUAGUGCAGAAGCUAUAAAAGAAGGUCUGUUCGACCUUUAAUUUUUU